CUCAAAAAUUUCAAAACACCCCUCCCCCUUUUCAUAUUCUUUCUUUGCUAGGGUUAGAGAACCCAUCGUAGCCGCCGCCGUCAUGUCGCCGUAGAGGGCGAUCGGAGUUGCGCGAAAAGGGGUUUUUAACCCUGGUUUUUAAAGCACCCGAAUACCAUGUUAUUUUAACCUCAAAAGCGUGAAAGAAGGGACCCCCGUUUUCCCCUUUGGAGGCGAUUUCACAACGGAGUAAGAGCCCCGUCCUCGCGACUUCGGGGUUCAAGCAAAGUCAACGAGGCAGGAGCUGCUAUUUUGGUGCAAGCAAUACCAGGGGCGGUGGUUUUCGGGCGGCAAGCGCGCUGAUCCAGCAUGUGAAGGCAGCGACGAACAAGGAAACCCUAGGAUUAGGGUUUGAGUUAAUUUUGGGCCACUGGGCCUUUAGUUUAUUUUAUAUAUUUUUGGACUGUAAUUUUAAUUAGUCUUCUUUUGUUUUUGUUUUUGAGUCUUGUUGGACCCGGAUAAAUUUGUGUUAUUACAUAAGAAAUUUGAAAUCUUAAAAUAAAAAUAUAAAUGUAGGUUACUAA